rnacentral:rRNA from 1 species
UCCUACGGGAGGCAGCAGGCGCGAAAUCUUCACAAUGUGCGAAAGCACGAUGAGGGGAUCCCAAGUGCUGGCACGUAAGUGUCAGCUGUUUCUUAGUCUAAAAAACUGAGAGAGUAAGGGCUGGGUAAGACGGGUGCCAGCCGCCGCGGUAAUACCUGCAGCUCAAGUGGUGGCCGCUAUUAUUGGGCCUAAAACGUCCGUAGCCUGUUUAGUAAAUGCUUGGGUAAAUUGUGUAGCUUAACUAUACGAAUACCGGGUAGACUGCUAAACUUGGGACCGGGAGAGGCUAGAGGUACUCCUGGGGUAGAGGUGAAAUUCUGUAAUCCUAGGGGGACCACCAGUGGCGAAGGCGUCUAGCUAGAACGGGUCUGACGGUGAGGGACGAAGCCCUGGGGCGCAAACCGGAUUAGAUACCCCAGUAG